rnacentral:rRNA from 1 species
AACGAACGCUGGCGGCAUGCCUAACACAUGCAAGUCGAACGAGACCUUCGGGUCUAGUGGCGCACGGGUGCGUAACGCGUGGGAACCUGCCCUUAGGUUCGGAAUAACUCCCCGAAAGGGGUGCUAAUACCGGAUAAUGUCUUCGGACCAAAGAUUUAUCGCCUUUGGAUGGGCCCGCGUUGGAUUAGCUAGUUGGUAGGGUAAAAGCCUACCAAGGCGACGAUCCAUAGCUGGUCUGAGAGGAUGAUCAGCCACACUGGGACUGAGACACGGCCCAGACUCCUACGGGAGGCAGCAGUGGGUAAUAUUGGACAAUGGGCGAAAGCCUGAUCCAGCAAUGUCGCGUGAGUGAUGAAGGCCUUAGGGUUGUAAAGCUCUUUUACCCGGGAUGAUAAUGACAGUACCGGGAGAAUAAGCUCCGGCUAACUCCGUG